UGUUGAUGUCCUGAUGCAGGUUUAAAAUGUUUGGGAGCAGCUUGUUGAUGUCCUGAUGCAGGUUUAUAAUGUUUGGGAGCAGCUUAUUGAUGUCCUGAUGCAGGUUUAUAAUGUUUGGGAGCAGCUUAUUGAUGUCCUGAUGCAGGUUUAUAAUGUUUGGGAGCAGCUUAUUGAUGUCCUGAUGCAGGUUUAAAAUGUUUGGGAGCAGCUUAUUGAUGUCCUGAUACAGGUUUAUAAUGUUUGGGAGCAGCUUAUUGAUGUCCUGUACUCGUGCUCCUGGAUAGCACAACGUUUUUUCUCUAGAGACUGAGACAUUUCUCACCAUUGAACUGCCAAAUACAACGGCUUAUGAGAAGCAGGAUAGCAUACACCCUCUGCUGCCGGCGAACAGGUCCAGACCUCCCACAGCAGGCAAUGCCCCCUCAGAUCCAGACAGAAAGGAGUCCGAACUCUAUGACAAAGCCGCUGCUGGAGGCAUUGUAGUUGGAGUCAGCACAACCUUCGCAGACAAAAGCAGUCCCAGCGAUGAAGGUGCAGGUGGAUCAGGUACCAGUGCAACAAAGCUAUUCCUUAGUGUCAAUCUGCUCCAAACUUCUCGCAGACACUCCAGUCUGCUUUGCAGCAAGCUGCUGCCUUCGGGGUCCGCGACUUGUGACAUGGGACCAAUGCUGAUUGGAACAAUCCUCUUGCUGUUCUCAGUCUAAUCCACUACAAGAUGGAGGAGGAGAAGUAGAUAGAGAUGACUUCCUUGGCAUGCAAGUUCCAGGUAGCACAGGGCAUUCGGACAAAUGACAAGGUGGGGAUACAUCUACCAGGCACGAGCGGCGUCCAGGUACAGGAGCUGAGAACGAGAAAGUUCCCAUUUGCGUUUUCCCCAUAAAUUCGCACAUUCCUGUAAUCCUCCACAAGCAAACAAUUGCC
ensembl:lncRNA